rnacentral:rRNA from 1 species
GAUGAACGCUGGCGGCGUGCCUAAUACAUGCAAGUCGAGCGAACAGAUAAGGAGCUUGCUCCUUUGACGUUAGCGGCGGACAGGUGAGUAACACGUGGGUAACCUACCUAUAAGACUGGGAUAACUUCGGGAAACCGGAGCUAAUACCGGAUAACAUUUGGAACCGCAUGGUUCUAAAGUGAAAGAUGGUUUUGCUAUCACUUAUAGAUGGACCCGCGCCGUAUUAGCUAGUUGGUAAGGUAACGGCUUACCAAGGCAACGAUACGUAGCCGACCUGAGAGGGUGAUCGGCCACACUGGAACUGAGACACGGUCCAGACUCCUACGGGAGGCAGCAGUAGGGAAUCUUCCGCAAUGGGCGAAAGCCUGACGGAGCAACGCCGCGUGAGUGAUGAAGGGUUUCGGCUCGUGAAACUCUGUUAUUAGGGAAGAACAAACGUGUAAGUAACUGUGCACGUCUUGACGGUACCUAAUCAGAAAGCCACGGCUAACUACGUG